rnacentral:lncRNA from 1 species
UUUGUAAUUGGGCCUAUCCACCUGCCAGAGACUCAAAAAUUUAACUGAACUCUUUCCAGCCAGUCAGUAUUAGGGUUUUAAACACUAAACUGAACUUUCCCUUUAGUCAGCAUUAGGGUUUUAAACCCUAAACUGAACUCUUUCCUUCAGUCAGCAUUAGGGUUUUAAACCCUAAACUGAACUUUUCCAUUCAGUCAGCAUUAGGGUUUUAAACCCAAAACUGAACUCUUUCCUUUAGUCAGCAUUAGGGUUUUAGACCCUAAACUGAACUUUUUCCCAUUCAGUCAGUAUUAGGGUUUUAAACCCUAAACUGAACUUUUUCUAUUCAGUCAGCAUUAGGGUUUUAAACCCUAAACUGAACUUUUCCUUUAGUCAGCAUUAGGGUUUUAAACCCUAAACUGAACUCUUUCCUUCAGUUAGCAUUAGGGUUUUAAACCCUAAACUUAACUUUUCCAUUCAGUCAGCAUUAGGGUUUUAAACCCUAAACUGAACUCUUUCCUUUAGUCAGCAUUAAGGUUUUAAACUCUAAACUGAACUUUUUCCAUUCUGUUAGCAUUAGGGUUUUAAACCCUAAACUGAACUCUU